UAAAAUAAUUAAGGGCACACAAAGGAUGCCUAGGUAGUAAGAGCCGAUGAAGGACGUGGUAAGCUGCGAUAAGCCUAGAUAAGUUGCAAUCGAACGUAAGAGUCUAGGAUUUCCGAAUGGAGCAAUCUAUUAAGAUGGAGUCUUAAUACGAAAGAGGGAACCGCGUGAACUGAAACAUCUAAGUAACGCGAGGAAAAGAAAGUAAAAACGAUACCCAAAGUAGCGGCGAGCGAAAUGGGUCAAGCCUAAACCUUAAAUAUGCCAAGGAUACAGCCGUUGUAUUUAAGGGGUUGAGGGACAGAGUAGUGAAGAACUGUAAGAUAUUCAAUAUAGUGUAUUGAUGAAUUGGAAUUGUCUGGAAAGGCGAACCGUAGAAGGUGAAAGUCCUGUACAAGUAAAUCCUUACACAUAUAACUCUGCUCCCAAGUAACAUGGAACACGAGGAAUUCUGUGUGAAUCUGUGAGGACCAUAUCUCAUAAGGCUAAAUACUCUUACUAACCGAUAGCGCAUAGUACCGUGAGGGAAAGGUGAAAAGAACCCCUGGAGGGGAGUGAAAUAGAACCUGAAAUUGUGUGCUUACAAGCGGUCAGAGCCAGUAAUGGUGAUGGCGUGCCUUUUGGAGAAUGAUCCUGCGAGUUACGUUAAACGGCGAGGUUAAGUAUAACGGAGCCGAAGGGAAACCAAGUCUUAAUAGGGCGAUUUAGUCGUUUGGCGUAGACGCGAAACCUGGUGAUCUAAACCUGUCCAGGAUGAAGCUGUGGUAAGACACAGUGGAGGUCCUAACCCACCGCCGUUGAAAAGUUGGGGGAUGAGGUAGGUUUAGGGGUGAAAAGCCAAUCGAACCAGGAGAUAGCUCGUUCUCUCCGAAAUGCAUCUAGGUGCAGCCUUGAGUGUUCAAUUAUGGGGGUAGAGCACUGAAUGAUCUAGGGGGCGUAUUGCUUACUGAAAUCAAUCAAACUCCGAAUACCAUAAUUUAGAGCUCAGGAGUGAGACUAUGGGAGUUAACUUCCAUUGUCGAAAGGGAAACAACCCAGACCACCAGCUAAGGUCCCUAAUUAUAACUAAGUGGGAAAGGAGGUGGAGAUUCACAAACAACUAGGAGGUUGGCUUAGAAGCAGCCAUACCUUUAAAGAGUGCGUAAUAGCUCACUAGUCGAGAGUCUCUGCGCCGACAAUGUAACGGGGCUAAGUUAUAAACCGAAGCUGUGGAAUCCGUAAGGAUUGGUAGGAGAGCGUUCUGUAGGCCGUUGAAGGAGAAGGAUAACCGACUCUGGAGGUAUCAGAAGUGAGAAUGCAGGAAUAAGUAGCGAGAAAGGGGGCGAGAAUCCCCCUCGCCGGAAGACCAAGGUUUUCAGGGUAAAGCUUGUCUUCCCUGAGUAAGCCGGGACCUAAGCCCAGGCUAUAAUGCGUAGGCGAAUGGAAAACAGAUUAAUAUUUCUGUGCCAGUCAUAUAUUGUGAUGGAGGGACGCAGAAGGGUAUGCACGCGGACGAACGGAAGUGUCCGUAGAAGUAUGUAGGAUGACUUGAUAGGAAAAUCCAUUGAGUUAUAUCUGAGGUAUGAUAUACAGUCGUAAGAUGAAUGUGCAAAUCCCACGCUGCCAAGAAAAGCUUCUAACGUUAAUAUUUGACUGCCCGUACUGUAAACCGACACAGGUGGUCAGGAUGAGAAAUCUAAGGCGGACAGGCUAACUCUCGUUAAGGAACUCUGCAAAAUAACCUCGUAACUUCGGGAGAAGAGGAGCCCUUGGGUGUUAGUAUCCACGCGUUACAAAGCACUCGAGGGUCGCAGUGAAGAGGCUCAAGCAACUGUUUAACAAAAACACAGGUCUAUGCUAAGCUGGAAGGCGAUGUAUAUGGGCUGACACCUGCCCAGUGCUGGAAGGUUAAGAGGAGGAGUGAGAGCUCCGAAUUGAAGCCCCAGUGAACGGCGGCCGUAACUAUAACGGUCCUAAGGUAGCGAAAUUCCUUGUCGGGUAAG
rnacentral:rRNA from 1 species